rnacentral:rRNA from 1 species
CCUACGGGCGGCAGCAGUGGGGGAUAUUGCACAAUGGGGGGAACCCUGAUGCAGCGACGCCGCGUGGGUGAAGGAGUGCUUCGGCAUGUAAAGCCCUAUCGGCAGGGAAGAAGCAAGACGGUACCUGACUAAGAAGCCCCGGCUAACUACGUGCCAGCAGCCGCGGUAAUACGUAGGGGGCGAGCGUUAUCCGGAUUCACUGGGUGUAAAGGGAGCGUAGACGGCCAAGCAAGCCAGGGGUGAAAGCCCGGGGCCCAACCCCGGGACUGCCCUGGGAACUGAAUGGCUGGAGGGCGGGAGGGGCAGGCGGAAUUCCUGGUGUAGCGGUGAAAUGCGUAGAUAUCAGGAGGAACACCGGCGGCGAAGGCGGCCUGCUGGACCGCGACUGACGUUGAGGCUCGAAAGCGUGGGGAGUGAACAGGAUUAGAUACCCCUGUAGUC